rnacentral:misc_RNA from 2 species
AACGCACCUUGCGCCCUUUGGUAUUCCGAAGGGCAUGCCUGUUUGAGUGUCAUGAAAACCUCAUCCCAUCGGGUUUCCGAUGACGAUGGAUCUGGGUGUUGCCGUCCUGGCUCGCCUUAAAAGUGUUAGCGGUUCCGAGGUUGAAUCUGGCGUAAUAAGUUUCGCUGGCCAAGACCGGAGGCUGCUCAUAACCCGUCUUCUGACAUUUUUGCUCUGACCUCAAAUCAGGUAGGACUACCCGCUGAACUUAA